rnacentral:rRNA from 1 species
CACGUAGGGGGCGAGCGUUGUCCGGAUUUAUUGGGCGUAAAGAGCUCGUAGGUGGCUCGGUAAGUCGGGUGUGAAAUUUCGAGGCUCAACCUCGAGACGCCACCUGAUACUGCUGUGGCUAGAGUCCGGUAGGGGAGCGUGGAAUUCCGGGUGUAGCGGUGAAAUGCGUAGAUAUCCGGAGGAACACCGGUGGCGAAGGCGGCUUCCUGGACCGACACUGACGCUGAGGCGCGAAAGCUAGGGGAGCAAACGGG